AGGAGACUGCCAGUGAUAAACUGGAGGAAGGUGGGGAUGACGUCAAGUCAUCAUGGCCCUUACGACCAGGGCUACACACGUGCUACAAUGGCGCAUACAAAGAGAAGCGACCUCGCGAGAGCAAGCGGACCUCAUAAAGUGCGUCGUAGUCCGGAUUGGAGUCUGCAACUCGACUCCAUGAAGUCGGAAUCGCUAGUAAUCGUGGAUCAGAAUGCCACGGUGAAUACGUUCCCGGGCCUUGUACACACCGCCCGUCACACCAUGGGAGUGGGUUGCAAAAGAAGUAGGUAGCUUAACCUUCGGGAGGGCGCUUACCACUUUGUGAUUCAUGACUGGGGUGAAGUCGUAACAAGGUAACCGUAGGGGAACCUGCGGUUGGAUCACCUCCUUACCUGAAAGAA
rnacentral:rRNA from 1 species